GGGCGGUUAGCUCAGCGGUAGAGCACUCGCCUUACAAGCGAGGGGUCACUGGUUCGAAACCAGUACCGCCCACCU
rnacentral:tRNA from 1 species